rnacentral:rRNA from 1 species
AUUGAACGCUGGCGGCAUGCUUUACACAUGCAAGUCGAACGGUAACAGGUUAAGCUGACGAGUGGCGAACGGGUGAGUAAUGCAUCGGAACGUGCCCGGUCGUGGGGGAUAACGCAGCGAAAGCUGCGCUAAUACCGCAUACGAUCUGAGGAUGAAAGCGGGGGACCGUAAGGCCUCGCGCGAUCGGAGCGGCCGAUGUCAGAUUAGGUAGUUGGUGGGGUAAAGGCCUACCAAGCCGACGAUCUGUAGCUGGUCUGAGAGGACGACCAGCCACACUGGGACUGAGACACGGCCCAGACUCCUACGGGAGGCAGCAGUGGGGAAUUUUGGACAAUGGGCGCAAGCCUGAUCCAGCAAUGCCGCGUGCAGGAAGAAGGCCUUCGGGUUGUAAACUGCUUUUGUACGGAGCGAAAAGGCUCUCUCUAAUACAGGGGGUUCAUGACGGUACCGUAAGAAUAAGCACCGGCUAACUACGUGCCAGCCGCCGCCGUAACAC